UCAGCUUCUUCACCCAAGGCCGGCGCUCUGCCGCUCCAGCCACAGCUCCACCUCCAGCUUGGUGGUGGUUCCUGGGAGAUCAAGGGUCUCAUGGGGACGUUCCUGCCCCAGCUGGCUUCGAACUGUGAUCCUCAGAUCUCAGCCUCCUGAGUCAUCUGGGACUGCAGGCGUGAGCACCAGUGCCUGGUUUGAAACAAAAGAGCC